rnacentral:lncRNA from 1 species
GGGCGGACUUGAGAAAACAUUCCCCAUCUCUUUAUGUAGUUCUUCAAUCAUGUUUUGACUUUAUAUAGAUAGGAAGACAGGUCUAAACUAGUCAAUUUCACAAGUCACUAGAGGACAAGAUUGGCAUGAACUCCUUUUCUUUUACUUUGGAAUUUCAACCAUGUGGGAAAGCAUGAAUUCCUUUUCUUUUGAUUUGGAAUUUCGCCUAUGUGGGAAAGCAUGAUAUCAAGCAUGGAUUCCUUUUCUUUUAAUUUGGAAUUUCUACCAUGUGGGAAAUCACUAGAUUGGCCUAAGAAUUUUCUGCACAAGUUUUUGGAUUCCCAACUUUUUGUAUUUGAUAUGUAUAAAAAGAAUUUGUUAAAUACAUAAAAAGUUUAUUUUUACAUGAAAUAUCAUUAAAAAUUAAUAUUAAAAAUAGAUAUACAAACAUUACUUAAAUAUUAUCCAUCUCAAAUUUUUAGACGCAAAUGUACGUGUUUGCAGUCAUAAGUCUAAGAUUGAUAAUGCAGAGCAAUAAAACUUGAUAAUUAAGAGAAUAAAGAACAAUAAAACUUGAUUGAAGGAUAUAAUAAAUUCAACAACGUCAAUGAGUUCUAUUGUUUUUUUUUUGUUAAAUUUAUUAUUAUUAAGGAGGGGAGGGUUCAAAACUAUUACAAUAAUUUAGGGGACAUGAGAAGUUUCGAACCCGAGAGGCAUGAGUGGAAACCCAACACCCUAUUCACUAAGAUAUUGGACCACAUGCAAGUAGUUUUCUUUCUAAAAUCAACAUCAACCUACGAAUUGAGUAUUAGAAUAAUCUAGCUCAAUAAUAAAUUUUUGAACGUUACCUCAAAUUACAAUGUUCAAGACUUCAAGACCACGUGAUAGUUGUUUAAACAUUCAAUAAAAAUGAAAAGAUUGGGAAGUUGAAAGAAAAAAUGAUUGCAAAGAGAUAUAGGUUUUUUAACUUUAUACGUUGAAGACGGAGACUACUCCGACUGCACCAACAACUCGAUUAUGACAUCUUUUUCAUGUUUCUCUAUUUAAAUGUUAUAUUCAUGAUGUAUAAAAAAAUUUGGGCUCCCCAGAAUUGGGAGCCCUCCACCGUUUUACUCGGCUACCCUGAAGAUGUGAGAACCCCUUUUUUUAGGUAGGUUUCUGGGAAGUUUUAAAUUAGGAAGUGGGAUCCUUCCCCACAGAUUUGGAUCCUCUCCGAGGCAGCUG